rnacentral:rRNA from 1 species
UAGGGAAUCUUCCACAAUGGACGCAAGUCUGAUGGAGCAACGCCGCGUGAGUGAAGAAGGUCUUCGGAUCGUAAAGCUCUGUUGUUGGUGAAGAAGGAUAGAGGCAGUAACUGGUCUUUAUUUGACGGUAAUCAACCAGAAAGUCACGGCUAACUACGUGCCAGCAGCCGCGGUAAUACGUAGGUGGCAAGCGUUGUCCGGAUUUAUUGGGCGUAAAGCGAGCGCAGGCGGAAUGAUAAGUCUGAUGUGAAAGCCCACGGCUCAACCGUGGAACUGCAUCGGAAACUGUCAUUCUUGAGUGCAGAAGAGGAGAGUGGAACUCCAUGUGUAGCGGUGGAAUGCGUAGAUAUAUGGAAGAACACCAGUGGCGAAGGCGGCUCUCUGGUCUGCAACUGACGCUGAGGCUCGAAAGCAUGGGUAGCGAACAGGAUUAGAUACCCUGGUAGUCCAUGCCGUAAACGAUGAGCGCUAGGUGUUGGGGACUUUCCGGUUCUCAGUGCCGCAGCAAACGCAUUAAGCGCUCCGCCUGGGGAGUACGACCGCAAGGUUG